GACGAACGCUGGCGGCGUACUUAACACAUGCAAGUCGAACGGCAAGGCCCUGCUUUUGUGGGGUGCUCGAGUGGCGAACGGGUGCGUAACACGUGAGUAACCUGCCCUUGACUUUGGGAUAACUUCAGGAAACUGGGGCUAAUACCGUAUAGGAGCUCCUGCUGCAUGGUGGGGGUUGGAUAGUUUCGGCGGUUGGGGAUGGACUCGCGGCUUAUCAGCUUGUUGGUGGGGUAGUGGCUUACCAAGCCUUUGACGGGUAGCCGGCCUGAGAGGGUGACCGGCGACAUGGGGACUGAGGGACGGACCAGACUCGUACGGGAGGCAGCAGGGGGGAAUAUGGCACAAUGGGCGGAAGCGUGAUGAAGCAACGCCGGGGGCGGGAUGACGGCCUGCGGGUUGUAAACCGCUGUCGCCUGUGACGAAGCGGGAGUGACGGUAAUGGGUAAAGAAGCACCGGCUAACUACGUG
rnacentral:rRNA from 1 species